CCUACGGGUGGCAGCAGUGGGGAAUCUUCCGCAAUGGGCGAAAGCCUGACGGAGCAACGCCGCGUGAUCGAAUGAAGGCCUUCGGGUUGUAAAGAUCUGUUGACAGGGACGAAUAAGCAAUGCGAAUAGUUUUGUGUAUGACGGUACCUGUUUAGAAAGCUCCGGCUAACUACGUGCCAGCAGCCGCGGUAAUACGUAGGGAGCAAGCGUUGUCCGGAAUUACUGGGCGUAAAGGGCGCGUAGGUGGCACGGCAAGCCUGAUGUGAAAGCCCGCGGCCCAACCGCGGGACUGCAUUGGGAACUACCGGGCGGGAGUGCCGGAGAGGUAGGCGGAAUUCCUAGUGUAGCGGUGAAAUGCGUAGAUAUUAGGAGGAACACCAGUGGCGAAGGCGGCCUACUGGACGGUGACUGACGCUGAGGCUCGAAAGCGUGGGGAGCAAACAGGAUUAGAUACCCCAGUAGUC
rnacentral:rRNA from 1 species